UGCAGGCGCUUAACAACAUGCAUGUCCAGCAGCAGCAGCUCACGCCGCCGCUUGCGGAUUGAUACCUGGAUACUGGAGCAUCUACGCACGUGGCCGGGUCGUCUGGAUCGAAGGACGAAGCGGGUGAUCCUCCGAUGUAACUCUGCCGACGAUGAACUCUACCCCGUGUCUGCGCCACCUCCUCACCAUGCACUAGCCGCGGUCACCACAGACACCUGGCAUCAACGCCUCGGGCACCCCGGCCGCGACACCCUCUCCGGCGUGCUGCGUUCCUCCUCCAUCACCACCCGCGACGCUCAGUCGCCUAUCUGUCAAGCAUGUCAACUAGGAAAGCAUGUUAGAUUUCCCUUCAGUAGUUCGGAUCAUGUGUCGUAUUUUCCCUUUCAACCUGUGCAUUGUGACGUCAGGACAUCUCCUGUAAUCAGUUUAUCAGGCUAUCAAUAUUACCUUGUGCUCUUAGAUGUUUACAGUCACUUU
rnacentral:rRNA from 1 species